AAACCGCUUAGGGGUUAAGCCCGAUGAACCUGAAUAUCUGAAUUGAGAAAUUCAAUAUUAUGUCGUUGAUUUUUAAACAAAAUUAAUGACUGGUAUGCACUUUUCUCAUAGUAAGACAUUGCGAUCCAUUAGAAAAUUUAUCAUACGGCUCGUGUGUAUCGUUUAUUCUAUCUGUAAUAAUUUUUUCAAUUUGUUAUAUGAGUAAAUACGUUGCGAUGACCUGAUAAAUAGCUGAUGGAGCUUAACAAUCAUACAACCAUACAUGCUAUGUAUCACAAUUGUAGAGAAUUUUUUCUUUAUAAUGUACAGUGAUUGUAUGUAUUUGAUUAGCAAUGCGAUAGAUUUGGGAUACCUUCGGGACCCGUCUUGAAACACGGACCAAGAAGUCUAACAUGUGUGCAAGUCAUUGGGUAUAUUGUUUAAAACCUAAAGGCGCAAUUAAAAUAACUAUUUUAAUGGGAUUACAAGUAAUUUGAAAAGAUUACUUCUCCAUCCCGGGGCGUUCUAUAUGAACAUGAUUUAAGCAAUUAGGUCCUCUGUUCGAGAGCGUACCUUGAGCAUACAUGCUGUGACCCGAAAGAUGGUGAACUAUACCUGAUCAGGUUGAAGUCAGGGGAAACCCUGAUGGAGGACUGAAGCAGUUCUGACGUGCAAAUCGAUUGUCAGAAUUGGGUAUAGGGGCGAAAGACCAAUCGAACCAUCUAGUAGCUGGUUCCCUCCGAAGUUUCCCUCAGGAUAGCUGGUGCAAUGAUAAAUCUACAUAUGUAAUCUCGUCUGGUAAAGCGAAUGAUUAGAGGCCUUGGGGCCGAAACGACCUCAACCUAUUCUCAAACUUUAAAUGGGCGAGAACCUCAUCUUUCUUGAUCUGAAGAUAUAGAGGUUUAGAUAUAUUGUGCCCAGUGGGCCACUUUUGGUAAGCAGAACUGGCGCUGUGGGAUGAACCAAACGUGAUGUUACGGCGCCAAAAUUAAUGACUCAUAUUGAUACCAUGAAAGGCGUUGGUUGCUUAAAACAGCAGGACGGUUGACACGGAAGUUGUAAUCCGCUAAGGAGUGUGUAACAACUCACCUGCCGAAGCAACUAGCCCUUAAAAUGGAUGGCGCUCAAGUCAUAUGCCUAUACAUCACCGCUAGAAUAUAAAAAUUUUCAAUAAUUUAUUUUGAAAAUUUAUCAAAUUCUAGUGAGUAGGAGGGUACAAUGGUGUGCGCAGAAGUGUUUGGCGUGAGCCUGCAUGGAGCCGCCAUUGGCACAGAUCUUGGUGGUAGUAGCAAAUAAUCGAAUGAGAUCUUGGAGGACUGAAGUGGAGAAGGGUUUCGUGUGAACAGUGGUUGAUCACGAGUUAGUCGGUCCUAAGCUCUAUGCGAAAGCUGUUUAAUUUAUGUU
rnacentral:rRNA from 1 species